GAACAAGCAUCCACAAAAGACACCCAUCAUUAAAUAUACCAAUCAAAAGUCAGCAAUGUCUACCUUCAAGCAACAGCUAAUGGACCACAAAUUCUAACUCAUUAAGGAAUCGAAAAAAACAGAGAAAGAUACAAAGAAACAGAGGAGACAAAUGGUUGAUGAAUUAUUUGCCUGUAGUAACAGGAUAGCCAAUCCCAUGCCUUCUAGUUGGGAAUACAACAAACAACAAGCUACAGAUGAGCCCAAUCCCAAUUGGAACAAUAUCCAAAACCUCUUGAGUCUCAUGUUUAGGCAUAGGAUAGAAGCAACUCACCGCAUUCUUGUCCCUCAAAGCCACAGCAACAAACACCAGCACAGAUAAAACAGCAUGAACCCCAUCAAUGAAUCUAAUCUUGUACUUGCUCAAAUCUUUCAGGUCGAAUAAACUUGCAGGAUCUGGACAAUCAAACAGAAAAAUCCCUUUAAAAGUUGCAAAACCAUAGUAGACUUGCCCAUCUGAUGACUUCACACUAUCUGUAAAUGAAGCAAGAAAGCAAGAAAUUGCAAGAAGCGCAAAAAGAAGGAGGGACAAAGGGCGUGUAGCAGAGUCACAGGCACCAUUAUUGGUAAAGAUUGGGGUUAGAAGCUGAAAGGCUAAAAGGGUGCCUGUGGGAAGGAGAUUGGCUAGGUUUGCUGUGCCUGUUAGGGUUUGUGAGAUUGCCCUUUGUGAUAGAGAAGGAGAUGCUGGUGGAGAUUUGGGGGUUUCAGGUUCAUGGUCUCCCUUGGUGCUGGUGGAGCUUGAACUUGCUGUGGUUACCUCAGGUAUGGAUGCUUGCUUGGCGGAUGUAGUUCCUGUUCUUGCUCUGAGAGACAUAAUUAAUCUUGGGGAUUUGCAAGAUUAUGAUUUUUUUUUGGUUGGUGAAUACAAGAGACUGAAAGCUAUUAUAUAAAAUGUCAAUGGGAUUAGGUUUUACUUGUCUUGAAAGGCUGUUGUUGCGAUUUCCAUUGACUUAACUGUCCUAAACAUUUACUUUCAACUAGGGCGGUUGCCCAAUCGGAG
rnacentral:misc_RNA from 1 species